rnacentral:rRNA from 1 species
UACGUAGGUGGCAAGCGUUAUCCGGAUUUAUUGGGCGUAAAGGGAACGCAGGCGGUCUUUUAAGUCUGAUGUGAAAGCCUUCGGCUUAACCGGAGUAGUGCAUUGGAAACUGGGAGACUUGAGUGCAGAAGAGGAGAGUGGAACUCCAUAUGUAGCGGUGAAAUGCGUAGAUAUAUGGAAGAACACCAGUGGCGAAAGCGGCUCUCUGGUCUGCAACUGACGCUGAGGUUCGAAAGCGUGGGUAGCAAACAGG